rnacentral:rRNA from 1 species
GUAGGUGGCAAGCGUUGUCCGGAAUUAUUGGGCGUAAAGCGCGCGCAGGGCGGUUCUUUAAGUCUGAUGUGAAAGCCCACGGCUCAACCGUGGAGGGUCAUUGGAAACUGGAGAACUUGAGUACAGAAGAGGAAAGCGGAAUUCCACGUGUAGCGGUGAAAUGCGUAGAGAUGUGGAGGAACACCAGUGGCGAAGGCGGCUUUCUGGUUUGUAACUGACGCUGAGGCGCGAAAGCGUGGGGAGUAAACAGGAUUAGAUACCCUGGUAGUCCACGCCGUAAACGAUGAGUGCUAAGUGUUAGGGGGUUUCCGCCCCUUAGUGCUGCAGCUAACGCAUUAAGCACUCCGCCUGGGGAGUACGGCCGCAAGGCUG